rnacentral:tRNA from 1 species
GGCGAUUUAGUGUAGUGGCCUAGCACGCCACCCUCUCACGGUGGAGACCAGGGUUCGAUUCCCUGAUUCGCUACAA